GAGGGAGGCGGUUGCCAUGGCAUCUAGAUAUCCAGCCCCUGGGCGGCUUGGGGGAGGAAGGGACCCGUGGAAGCCAGCCUGGAAAGCUGCCGAGCUGAGAGCAGGCAAGGCAGGGUGCACGCAGGCCCUCUGGACUCCCUUGUCAUAUUUCCAACUUGGGGAUGAGAGGCGGCUUCCUGGGCAUCUCCGAGGGUCAGCCCAUCACCUCGGCCCACAGCCCCGGUAGUGUCACCUGAACACGGGGGGAAUGGAGGGAAAUGGCCCUGGAGAGGCCCGGAGAAAGCCCUAGAAGAGAGCGGAUGCUGGCCCCCUUGUCCUCCACCCCUCGAGAGACAGCCUGGAUGGAUGGUUGUGUUCUUGGCCCAAGCUCAGGUCUGUCUCUUUCUCAGCCCUUCACAAGACUUCCUCCUGGCGGGUCUCUGGGACUGCUCUCUGCCUGCUCCUGCUGUCUCUGUUGCUCCUCUCCACCCUCCAAAGCUUUGCAUCAGGGGACAGGGAAGAGUGGGAAAGACGUGUUCCUCCCAGCCCUGCCCCGUCUCAGCCAUGCUCCCUCCACCUCCUACCAGUACCCUCCUGGUGCCACCGAAUGUGCUGCUCCAGUCCUGGACAGCCUCCAGCAGCCCCUGUGUCCCACAGGAUUUGGGCAAGUGAGGGUCUCCUUGAGUGGAGGGCAGCUGUCAGGCUGGGAUGGGAGAGCAGAUGGAGAAGAGGCUUGUAGGGUAGACGAUAGUUGGGGAGACUAGGAUGUCUCUGGGUGAGGAGGCAACUCUCAAGUCCCCAUGUUUUUCUUGCAGGAACUGGUGUUAUAGAAGGCUGCCCCUCCUGCUAGGAUCACACAGGAGCAUCUGCUCUGGACGGGCCUGCAGCGGCCCUGGCUGUGCUGCUGACUGGUGCACCAGGAGCAGCACUGAGGGGAGCCGGGAGAGGCCCUGGCCCUCACCCCCCAUCCCAGAUCCACAUCUGCCCCCUCACUGAUUGCUCGCGGUCCUGGUCCUCAGUUCCUGGGACUAAGAACCACAGCAGCCUGGUUGCCCCUGGGACAGAGGGGCUGAGCCUCACACCAUGUGCCCUUCUCAGCCACCCAGGUCCCGGCUGAAGAUCUCUGCCUGCCUCACCCCGAGGCCUGAGGCUGCACCUGGGCUACCACAUGCCCCCCGCAGAUUCCCACAGACGGAAGGGCGCUGAUGGCUUCCUCCCUUGUGCCAAGUUGCCUGGAAACCCCUGGUCCUGGUGGCCCCUCCUCCACCUCAACUGUGUUCCUCCAGGACCAUUUCCGGGAGACUGCCAGCCUUUGGAGUGCAUCCCUGGAGUUCUGAGAGACUGUGACAUGGGGCUGCAGGGGUGGAGAGGAGCGGAGGACCAGGGGCCUCCUUGGGGCUAAUGCACAAAUGUGUGCACUUUUCAAGUUCACGUCUCACCCUCUGGGUGACUGGAUCCCCAGCCGCAGCCUCUUCCUGGGCCAGCCUGAGAGGACCUGGGAAGGGCACUAGGGAGGUUUUUACUUAAUAUGUGUGUGCCUGUGUGUGAAUGUGUGUGUGAGUGCGCAUGUUGAGUGCAUGUGUGAGUGUGGGAUGUGUGUGGGGAUGUAUGUGCGAGUAUGUAUGCACAUGCAUGAGGGCUUGAGUGUGUGAGUGUGUGGGUGUGUGUGUGGAUGAGGGUGUGGGUAUGAGUGCAGAUGCAUGAAUGCACAGAUGCUUGUGUGUGAAUGUGUGGAUGUGAGUGUGUGUGUGUGAAUACACGUGUCAGUGUGCAUUUGUGAAUGGGUGUAUGUCUGUGCACAAGUGUGUGAUUACUUGUGCACACACGAGUGACUACGCGCUGCAGAGGCUGCAGAACUGUUUAGCAGGUGUGCAGUGCAGGAAGGGCUCCCUGUCCUUCCCGGGCUUGUGGCUCUGUUGGAGCUGCCUGGGCCCUGGGAGGCGGCUUCCCAAAGUGGAGAAAGUAUGUUGGAGAUUCAGGGGCCUCGAGCAGAGACCCUUUGCCACCUGCAGAGAAUCCCCUCUCCUUGUGGGGCUCUGGCUGGGGGCUGUCCGCCCCCAAAGAUACUGGCCGUGGGAGGGGCGGGGACACGUCCUCAGCACGUGCUCCUGCCGCUGCUUUUCUUACUGUUUUGAUCUUGAAUACUUUGCUGCUUCUGCUCUCCCACCGCUUCCUCAUCUCCCGACUGGGCCCCUGCUGCUCUCUAUGCACUUUGUUUGCAGUCUGUUUUUCAGGCAGUGGAGCUUAUACACAAUCACUGACUUGAAUAAGACAACUUUUCCUUUUCUGUGUGUGAUGAACUCGGCACCAGUCAGCGCAAUCUGGUCAGAGAAAUGUUCUUGUUUCCAGUGUUGUCAAAUCUUGUGUCUAUCUAAGUUAAUAAAAAAUAUUCUUUGAAUUGAAUAAAA